AACGGUCUAUACCUGCGGUACCUGCGGAGGGAUCAUCGCCAAACAGCGGCCGCGGCGCUCCGGCGCCCGGCCGCGCACAUCCUCCGUCAACCUGUUGCAUCUGUAUUCUCUGGAGCGGGGCCGAGCCUUGGGGCCUUGGCGCCCCCGGCCUGGCCCGCUCUUAUUUCAACAGCACUACACACUGUACGAAACCAUUAUACCACACAACAACAAAAAACAUACAACUUUCAACAAUGGAUC
rnacentral:misc_RNA from 1 species